CUCUCACUCAUUCCUCUCACUCAUUCUUCUUCCAUUUCUCUCUCUCUCUCUCUCCGAUCGACCAAACCAACGCCGAUUGACCACAACCAGCGCCGAUCUGUCUCAGUCUCUGGCUCCGGUAAUUCUCAGAACUAGCGCCAAUCGACCAGAACCAAUGCCGAUUUGUCUCUGUCCCUGUCUCCGACAACUCUUAGCUCUCAUCUCAUCUUCUCGCUCAUUCUUGAUCUUCCAUCUCUCUUAUUCUUCCAUCUCUCUCCCCGAUCGACCAAAACUAGCGCCGACUGAC